GACGAACGCUGGCGGCGUGCUUAACACAUGCAAGUCGAGCGGUAAGGCCCUUUCGGGGGUACACGAGCGGCGAACGGGUGAGUAACACGUGGGUGACCUGCCCUCAGCUCUGGGAUAAGCCUGGGAAACCGGGUCUAAUACUGGAUAUGACUCCAUGACGCAUGUUGUGGGGUGGAAAGCCUUGUGCGGCUGAGGAUGGGCCCGCGGCCUAUCAGCUUGUUGGUGGGGUGANGGCCUACCAAGGCGACGACGGGUAGCCGGCCUGAGAGGGCGACCGGCCACACUGGGACUGAGACACGGCCCAGACUCCUACGGGAGGCAGCAGUGGGGAAUCUUGCGCAAUGGGCGAAAGCCUGACGCAGCGACGCCGCGUGAGGGAUGACGGCUUUC
rnacentral:rRNA from 1 species